UGUCAAGUGGACUGUGUAUCAUACUUGGUUAUUUGUGUAAGCAUUCAAACUGUACCUCACAACAGUUGCUGUCAGGUGGACUGUGUAUCAUACUUGGUUAUUUGUGUAAGCAUUCAAACUGUACCUCACAACAGUUGCUGUCAUAUAGACUACGUAUCAUACUUGGUUAUUUGUGUAAGCAUUCAAACUGUACCUCACAACAGUUGCUGUCAAGUGGACUGUGUAUCAUACUUGGUUAUUUGUGUAAGCAUUCAAACUGUACCUCACAACAGUUGCUGUCAGGUGGACUGUGUAUCAUACUUGGUUAUUUGUGUAAGCAUUCAAACUGUACCCCACAACAGUUGAUGUCAGGUGGACUGUGUAUCAUACUUGGUUAUUUGUGUAAGCAUUCAAACUGUACCCCACAACAGUUGCUGUCAAGUAGACUGUGUAUCACACUUGGUUAUUUGUGUAGGCAUUCAAACUGUACCCCACAACAGUUGAUGUCAGGUGGACUGUGUAUCAUACUUGGUUAUUUGUGUAAGCAUUCAAACUGUACCUCACAACAGUUGCUGUCAAGUAGACUGUGUAUCACACUUGGUUAUUUGUGUAGGCAUUCAAACUGUACCCCACAACAGUUGAUGUCAGGUGGACUGUGUAUCAUACUUGGUUAUUUGUGUAAUCAGACAAACUGUACCUCACAACAGUUGCUGUCAGGUGGACUGUGUAUCACACUUGGUUAUUUGUGUAGGCAUUCAAACUGUACCUCACAACAGUUGCUGUCAAGUAGACUGUGUAUCACACUUGGUUAUUUGUGUAGGCAUUCAAUCUGUACCCCACAACAGUUGAUGUCAGGUGGACUGUGUAUCAUACUUGGUUAUUUGUGUAAGCAUUCAAACUAUACCCCACAACAGUUGCUGUCAGGUGGACUGUGUAUCACACUUGGUUAUUUUUGUAGGCAUUCAAACUAUACCCCACAACAGUUGAUGUCAGGUGGACUGUGAAUCAUACUUGGUUAUUUGUGUAAGCAUUCAAACUGUACCUCACAACAGUUGCUGUUAGGUGGACUGUGUAUCACACUUGGUUAUUUGCUGUAAUCAGACAAACUGUACAUCACAACAGUUGCUGUCAGGUAGACUGUGUAUCACACUUUGUUAUUUUGUGUAGGCAUUCAAACUGUACCUCACAACAGUUGCUGUCAUAUAGACUACGUAUCAUACUUGGUUAUUUGUGUAGGCAUUCAAACUGUACCUCACAACAGUUGCUGUCAUAUAGACUACGUAUCAUACUUGGUUAUUUGUGUAGGCAUUCAAACUGUACCUCACAAAAGUUGCUGUCAGGUGGACUGUGUAUCACACUUGGUUAUCUGUGUAAUCAGACAAACUGUACAUUACAAAAGUUGCUGUCAUAUAGACUAUGUAUCAUACUUGGUUAUUUGUGUAGGCAUUCAAACUGUACAUCACAAAUGUUGCUGUCAGGUAGACUGUGUAUCACACUUGGUUAUCUGUGUAAUCAGACAAACUGUACAUUACAAAAGUUGCUGUCAUAUAGACUAUGUAUCAUACUUGGUUAUUUGUGUAGGCAUUCAAACUGUACCUCACAAAAGUUGCUGUCAGGUGGACUGUGUAUCAUACUUGGUUAUUUGUGUAGGCAUUCAAACUGUACCUCACAACAGUUGCUGUCAGGUGGACUGUGUAUCACACUUGGUUAUUUGUGUAGGCAUUCAAACUGUACCUCACAACAGUUGCUGUCAGGUGGACUGUGUAUCACAUUUGGUUAUCUGUGUAAUCAGACAAACUGUACAUUACAAAAGUUGCUGUCAUAUAGACUAUGUAUCAUACUUGGUUAUUUGUGUAGGCAUUCAAACUGUACCUCACAAAAGUUGCUGUCAGGUGGACUGUGUAUCACACUUGGUUAUCUGUGUAAUCAGACAAACUGUACAUUACAAAAGUUGCUGUCAUAUAGACUAUGUAUCAUACUAGGUUAUUUGUGUAGGCAUUCAAACUGUACCUCACCAAAGUUGCUGUCAGGUGGACUGUGUAUCAUACUUGGUUAUUUGUGUAGGCAUUCAAACUGUACCUCACAACAGUUGCUGUCAGGUGCACUGUGUAUCACACUUGGUUAUUUGUGUAGGCAUUCAAACUGUACAUCACAACAGUUACUGUCAUAUAGACUAUGUAUCAUACUUGGUUAUUUGUGUAAGCAUUCAAACUGUACCUCACAAAAGUUGCUGUCAGGUGGACUGUGUAUCAUACUUGGUUAUUUGUGUAGGCAUUCAAACUGUACCUCACAACAGUUGCUGUCAGGUAGACUGUGUAUCACACUUGGUUAUUUGUGUAGGCAUUCAAACUGUACCUCACAAAAGUUGCUGUCAGGUGGACUGUGUAUCACACUUGGUUAUUUGUGUAGGCAUUCAAACUGUACAUCACAAAAGUUGCUGUCAGGUGGACUGUGUAUCACACUUGGUUAUUUGCUGUAAUCAGACAGACUGUACCUCACAAAAGUUGCUGUCAGGUAGACUGUGUAUCACACUUGGUUAUUUGUGUAGGCAUUCAAACUGUACCUCACAACAGUUACUGUCAUAUAGACUAUGUGUCACACUUGGUUAUUUGCUGUAAUCAGACAAACUGUACAUCACAACAGUUGCUGUCAUAUAGACUAUGUAUCAUACUUGGUUAUUUGCUGUAAUCAGACAAACUGUACCUCACAAAAGUUGCUGUCAGGUGGACUGUGUAUCACACUUGGUUAUCUGUGUAAUCAGACAAACUGUACCUCACAAAAGUUGCUGUCAGGUGGACUGUGUAUCACACUUGGUUAUUUGCUGUAAUCAGACAGACUGUACAUCGCAACAGACAAAACCUUUAUCUGACAAACAAUAUUUGGGGAUUCCGUAAACAAGUUAAUCUGUGGUGCUAACAAAACAGAAUGGGUAUUGUGAUUAUGUUGACUGAUUAUUUGUAGGUGAUCACCCCUCACUAAAUCCAUGACACUUUAAGAAUCCCAUUCAAAUACGAGAGCAUCUUUUAAAACGCUGCAAUCUGCCCACAGACAUCGCCUUGAUCCACGACGAGUCCGGAGUGAAAUAUCAGUGCUUGAAGUGUGACAAGAUCUACGUACAUAGGCGCAGUCUCCGCAAACACCAGCGGUAUCAGUGCGGGGACAAGCGUCCCUUUAGCUGUCAUCUCUGUCCGUACAGUGCCAAACAGAAGAUACACCUCAGGUCUCAUCUCGCCAGCCACCACAAGGAGUACUCUUGUCCUCCCUGAACUAUGUGUAUUCAGAUAUAUGGCGUAUUUUCUUUGUUGGUUGUCUUAGAAAUGUUGGCCUAAUAUUAUGAGUGUUUCAAUGUUCAAAAGUUCUUGUGAAUAUUAUUGUACAAAGUUGAUAUUCAACAAAUUUGUUUAUUUAACUUUGGGAAGCAACAAUAUCGGUAUAUUCAUCUCGAUUCAGGUUUGUGUUUUUGGUUUGUGCUUCCCAUGUUUAAGUAUACUGACUAGAAAUCUGCUACGUUUGUGACAAGUCUAUGGCCGACUGUAUUUUGUUUUUAUUUGUUUAUAUUGCUAGAAAAGUCUCCAGAAUUGUUGAAUUUGCCUUCUGGUUCAGUUGAUAAAUAUCAAAUACAUUUUGUGACACCAGUUAGUCAUUACAUUUUUGGAACCCUAAAAAGUGGGAUUGUGUUGUGGGAAAUUUGAUAUUCUGAAACAACGCAUCAUUGUAGACCACGUAUUGCCUGUAAGAUAUGUUGGAUAUGCUGACACAACGGACAUUUUAUAUUUUAUUAAAUAAGAUUGUUUUUCUUUAGUUCCAAUAUGGCUAAUGUUUUAAAGUGUUUUACUACAUUUUCUCUUAGUCAAGUAAAUAUAAGGUAUUAUUCAGUUAUUUUACAAAAUGAAACGUAUUUUAAUGUGAAUAAUAAAAUCUUUAUAACACCUA
rnacentral:misc_RNA from 1 species